rnacentral:SRP_RNA from 1 species
CGUGCUAAACGGGGAGCUAGCGGUGCCCUGUGACCUGCAAUCCGCUACAGCAGGGUUGACCACCCGCCGAGGCGCGUGUUAUGGAAAGCCGGCAACUAUAAGGGAUGUUGAUCUUAAGGUCUCGUGCAAUUUCGUGUUGUGAACCGUGUCAGAGCUUGACCGCAGCAGCACUAAGCAAUUUUCGGAGUGUGCCACGAGGUAGCUUUAGGGGAGUUACCUGUAGUUGUGUCGAUUCGGUAGCGCACGUCGGAGCGGGCGCAC